AUUUUUAAUUAAGCCAUAUAGAUUGUUACAUAAAGAAGCGUUAAAUGGCUUAAAUCAAGUGAAGGGAUUUGAACAAAAGUUCAAAAGUCUAAAUGGAGUAAACAAUGUAAACAUGCACAGCAUUUAAGAAAAAGUAAAUGGUUGGAAAAAAAUAAAGUUAUGGCUGAAUGAAAAGAAAACAAUCAUUACUGCAAUCCACACAAAAUAUUUGUCUCUGAAUUUCACCAUGGCAACUUCAGUACAAUAGUGUUAACAAAACAACAACAAAAAACAGUGUUUCCUGUUCUGAAACAAGCAACAUGUGGAAUCCACUCAUUAUUUAGGGUGGGCUUGUCUGCUGCUGCUGAUGAUGGUUUGUUAGUGGAGCUCUGAAUACAUGGCCACAUGCUACUGAAUUACAUGAAACUUUGUUUGUCCCAGCCAGAUCGUCUGAGGGAAUUUCUCUCAGCUUAGUGAGAAAAUUAACAAGAUUACAUUUAGUAGUCAAAAUAAGAAGUGAACGUUUGAAGAGCAUCUCAUAAAUAGACCGUUUAUAGACGCUGAUGUAGAGUUCCCUAGAAAUUCCGAAGAAAAUUAACUCAGCAAGCCCAGAAACUUAUGAGCAAUAGGCUACUUUCACAAGCACUUCCUGAUUCGCCGUAAUACAGCUCAUCAGCUUCCGGUUCCAAGAUGGCAACGUUCUACACCCGGUGUUUACAGGAGCUGCCGACAAUAAAUAUCACAGAUGUGCAUCGUUUAUGUCGGGAAACAAAAACUCCGACAAGCAAAUUGGAGAAGGGGUUUAGGCUGUAUGCUUUGAACUACAUUCACAGCUACGAAGAUCAAGCUUUCUGAUUCAUCAGCCAAGGGAUGAAAAAAGAAAGAGUUAAUCUAUGGGCUGGAGCAGCUGUCCGAGAGGAAAAGAAAAAAAGUAUAGCUCAAAAACAACAAAUACAAAUGCAAUGGCAUCACGUAUAAUUACAUCUAACUACUUAUAAAGUACUGUUGAUGCACGUGCAGGUGCGACCACUUCUUUUUUUCUGGGCAGCUGAUUUGGCUCUGGAAACACGGACCAUCUUGUGGAGAAGGCUCAAUCAAAGACCAAAAAGCUAUCAGAUGGUUGUAGCUGGCAAAUCUAUUCACAGAAGACAUUGCAUAAAAAUGUUCAAUUAGAAGUGUACAUCAAAAGUAUACAUUGUUACCAAAAUAAUGUCAACAGUAACUACUAAGAUUAAGAUUUUUAUCAUAUAUAUAUUAUGUAGCAGGGUGACCUGUAUUUCUCCCAUAUAUCUGUUUCAGCCUCAGUCACCUCCCUUUUACCUGUAUUGUGACUUGUGCCACUACGCAACGGUUGCUCUACCGGAUGGCGUCGUAACUAUUCCCUCUUUGGGUGCAGUUCAAUAACUGCACCAACUUCCUGUAAGACAACCUGAUGUGUGUGGAUAUCCAAUGCCCUAAUGUGUUCUCUGUGCUCUCUUUUUAGAGUAGUGUUCUUGUCCGGGCCGUAUCUUUGGGAGGCGCGGUUUGGUGGUUUUCCGUGUACUUGCAUGUAGAUAAGUAGGGUGUUACCUGCUCAAUUCAUACAUUUGUACAAUUGUUUAUUAAUAGUAUUUUGUUCUAGGACCAGCAUUGGUGGAGUUGGAGACGGUCACAUUCUGGCGCUGGCGCUUCAGUGCUCCUAUUUUCAUCUCAUAGAAUAAUAAGAUGACUUUUUUCAACCAUUUAAAAAUAAACUUUUGUGGACUUGAACUGGAAACACGUCUCUGUAAGUCUUUACACAAAUCUGUAUUAUAAAUGUUGUUUGUUUUUGUACUAUUGGUGUGGUCACAUUCAUAUAUAUAAAUUCUGAUAAGACAUGGACAUCCCCAACUCCAAUUACACCAUCUCUCAACAUGCCACUACUUGUGUCCUAUUAAUCAUUCACAGACCUAUUAAGAAAUAAUUUGGUACAGUACUAUAAAUUAAUUUGUAACGUAAAGCUAUUUUCUAACCAACAAUGUCCCUG
ensembl:lncRNA